GUUCAUUAUGACUUGUGCUUUUAGCUAAGAUGUCAAAGAACAAUUGUAUGAAAUAUUUAAUCGCCGAAAAUCUCUUAAGACAAGUAGUUUAGAUUUCCCAAAUGACAAAAGUCGUAGGAAUAUUGUUUGUCAUCAAUACGUAGUACAACUACGUCAGUAGUCUAUUAUAUAAUAAGUUUAACUGUUCAUGCUGUUGGCGGCAAUUUCAAAUUAAAAAAAGAAAUUUUCGUACGUAGCUUUUCAAUUUCGAGGCAGGUGUGCAAAUUAGCGGUGGUCCGAGGUCCGCGACCUUCCACUUUUGAAAGCGGAAUUUCGACUAGGAUAGUUGGUUUCUAGCUACGCCCGACGUAGUCACCUUCCACUUGAAAGAAAAUAAGAAAUUACUUUGCAAACCUUUUCACCAUGUUCACCAAAGUCUCCAAUUAAACGAGCUAAAAACUUAUUUUUACAUUAUUAUUCAUGUUGGCGAUGUUCAUUUUGUUCAACCGCUAGCUUUAUACAGAAAAUCGCCGACAAAUAUUGUAUAAAUUCGAGUAAAGUCGUAUCUGAUUGACAAAACAACAUUGUAAACACAUAACAAUGGCGGCCGUGAAUUCUAAAUCGGAUCCGAUUCCGGAAGCGGAUAAGGGUAAUUCCGGGUUUGGCGAUCAUUUACAAAAUAAAUCCAAGCAGGUGAAAAAAUACAUCUAUGCAUGGUAAAUGAAUAUAAACACUAGUAUUUUAAACCAAAAGAUAUAUGUAAAAGAAAGAAAAAGCAGAAAAAUAUUUUAUUCAGAAAC
rnacentral:lncRNA from 1 species